ensembl:lncRNA
CCCCGUCGGCGGCCCCGCGGAGCGGCGUUGGUACAGUCCGAGACGGCCCCCGGCUAUAAAUAGCGCCAGGCGCAUGGCUCUUCGGGAGGUGCUGAGAUUCCGGGGCCCGGCGGCCGUGGGCAGCGGGUGCCCGUUAGGAACCGGGCAGUCGGCCUCCUCUCGUUACCCUUUGGGGGUUCUUUUUGUAAUAGAAGCAGAUUUAAAUCUUGCAAUCACUGCUGGGAAGUGAGCUGUAUCAUCCUGAGAAAUCAGACCAUAGAGACAGGCCUGCAGCUGGCAGCCUGGGUCAUCUUUAAUCGCUUAACCCUUCAUAUCAAAGAACGGCUUGUAGCAGCGGAUUCCUUCUCCAGAAUUUCCCAUGGCAGAUUUUCUCAAGGAAAAGCUGGCCUGGAUCAGCAAUGGAAUACCUGGACAGGUAACUCUUGUAAAUAUGAAUCCAGCUGACUGCUGACCACCAGGCAGAGGAUGGAACUUUUUGCUAAAGACUGUCAUCUGCUCUGUGCUAUGGGACAUUGGAGAAGGAUCUCUUCUAGACUCACGCAGAGAGAGAAGAGGAAGUGGAGCCUGGCCAGGGUGGACUCUUACCAGGUCCAUUUGCAGUAAAGAUGGCAGCCAGAAGGGGAUGAGCAGGAGGACGUGGACCUGGUCCUUGGUGUUGUUAAAGCAGCCUUGCCUGCUUGCAAUCCAAGGCUUCCUGUUUUCAAGACUCUCUUAAAUCUUCUGUUGUGAUCACUGGUGAAGUGUAUGGAGAAGAGCUACAAGUAGAUUCAAGUUUCUACUGCAUCUGCACCCUCAGGAGUCCUCUAUUCUCCUGAGAUCCAUCUCUUGGCCCCAACAGUUUUUGCUGACUUCUUAACCAGGGUCUGGCAGCAUCUAUCCCAGCGAUGGGAUGCUGCCAUUUUGGAGAGGUCUCAGCCAGUGAUGAAGAGUGGUCACAUGUAGGGAAAGUUUGGUGUGAUGAUUAUGGCAACUAGGACCAGUGCUGAAGCUAUCACCUCUCCUACUGCCAGCAUUGUGCAAUGGUGUGCAAUGGUAUCAUCAGCCCACAAGACAGAAUGAUGAAGAAGCUUUUCUCCAUGGAGGUGGAAUCUGACUUAGCUCAUGACAUGGCCUAAUAGAACAGGAUGGAUGGGAGACACAUGGAGAGAGCCCCAGUCACUAGGGCUGCUACUGAGUCCAGACUUGUGUGACAGCAGCUGACAUAUCAUGGAAAGAGUGAGAGCCGAAACCUUGAGGGGGCUUCUGGAAAUUCUCAAGACCUCAAGAAACUGUGAAAAUCAUUGACUCAGAAGAAGUGAGAUAUUUAAAUGUCCAUGUAGGAUAGACAAAAAUGGGAUAAUGACAGGAAGAAAAAUUGAACACAUUCUACUUAUUUCAAAGAGGCAAUGAAUGAGAAUGAGGAGGUGGCUCAGAAAUUAAUAAAUGUAAUAGCUACAACUCAUAGGACUGGUAGAAAGAAAGGGAGGACAUGUUGUUAUUGGGGCCAAAAGGUACUGAGCAAAGGCCAUCUCGUUAGUGCUAGAACUUUGAAGAGGGACAUCAUGGCUGCGUCCAGGGUGGUAGAUGCCUCCUAUGAUGCCUCUAGGGAUUGAGAAGCAUAGCUCCUCCCCUAUUCCUGUCUCUGACCCUACCAAUACCUCCUACUGGCUACAGGAAGCCACAGGGAAAGACAGACUCCAGCCCUGGCAUUACUGAGCAGAAUUAAAAAGAGCAGGGGUGAGCAGUGCAGA